rnacentral:rRNA from 1 species
AUUGAACGCUGGCGGCAUGCCUUACACAUGCAAGUCGAACGGUAACGGGCCUUCGGGUGCCGACGAGUGGCGAACGGGUGAGUAAUACAUCGGAACGUGCCCGAUCGUGGGGGAUAACGAGGCGAAAGCUUUGCUAAUACCGCAUACGAUCUACGGAUGAAAGCAGGGGACCGCAAGGCCUUGCGCGGAUGGAGCGGCCGAUGGCAGAUUAGGUAGUUGGUGGGAUAAAAGCUUACCAAGCCGACGAUCUGUAGCUGGUCUGAGAGGAUGAUCAGCGACACUGGGACUGAGACACGGCCCAGACUCCUACGGGAGGCAGCAGUGGGGAAUUUUGGACAAUGGGCGCAAGCCUGAUCCAGCCAUGCCGCGUGCAGGAUGAAGGCCUUCGGGUUGUAAACUGCUUUUGUACGGAACGAAAAGCCUUCUUUUAAUACAGGAGGGUCAUGACGGUACCGUAAGAAUAAGCACCGGCUAACUACGUG